GACGAACGCUGGCGGCGUGCUUAACACAUGCAAGUCGAGCGGAGCGGCGAACGGGUGAGUAACGCGUGAGUAACUGCCCCCCUCUCGGGGAUAACAGUUGGAAACGGCUGCUAAUACCGGAUAGUGGGGGAUGACUCGCGUCCCAUCAGCUUGUUGGUGGGGUAGGGGCCUACCAAGGCGACGGCGGGUAGCCGGCCUGGGAGGGGGACCGGACACCAUGGGCUGGGGUACCGGCCAAACCUCUACGGGGGGCAGGAGUUGGGAAUAUUGCACAAUGGGGGAAACCCUGAUGCAGCAACGCGCGUGCGGGAUGACGGCCUUCGGGUUGUAAACCGCUUUCAGCCAUGACGCGGUAGUGGCAGAAGAAGCACCGGCUAACUACGUGCCAGCAGCCGCGGUAAUUC
rnacentral:rRNA from 1 species